rnacentral:sRNA from 1 species
AGCUGCUGCCAUGGAGCCAGCCGGGCUAGAGCGGCUCCUACGGGAGCUGCUGCUACCGGACACCGAGCGCAUCCGUCGGGUACGGAGCAGGCGUAACCCGGCCAGGGCGAGCGGGAGGUUGCGGGAAAGGCCCGACUCUCACCCCUAGCUUCCCCCCAGGCCACGGAACAGCUCCAGAUCGUUCUUCGGGCCCCCGCCGCUUUGCCGGCUCUCUGCGACCUGCUAGCCUCGGCGGCCGACCCCCAGAUCCGCCAGUUUGCGGCCGUGCUGACCCGCAGACGACUGAACACCCGCUGGCGACGGCUGGCGGCGGAGCAACGGGAGAGCCUCAAGUCCCUGAUCCUGACGGCCCUGCAGAGAGAAACAGAGCACUGUGUGAGCCUCAGCCUGGCCCAGCUCUCAGCCACCAUUUUUCGAAAGGAAGGCCUGGAGGCCUGGCCACAGCUUUUGCAGCUGCUUCAGCACAGUACCCACAGCCCCCACAGCCCAGAGAGAGAGGUACCAUCACAUGGUUGGCAGGAGGGAGGGCCUGAGAGGCUGGAUAGACCUUGUAAGCUUGCUCUCCCAUCCUCUAUUCUUGGACAGAUGGGGCUUUUGCUGCUAAGUGUGGUGGUGACCUCCCGGCCCGAGGCCU